UGCGCAGGCGGUUUUGUAAGACAGAGGUGAAAUCCCCGGGCUCAACCUGGGAACUGCCUUUGUGACUGCAAAGCUGGAGUGCGGCAGGAGGGGGGAUGGAAUUCCGCGUGUAGCAGUGAAAUGCGUAGAUAUGCGGAGGAACACCGAUGGCGAAGGCAAUCCCCUGGGCCUGCACUGACGCUCAUGCACGAAAGGCUGGGAGCAAACA
rnacentral:rRNA from 1 species